rnacentral:rRNA from 1 species
UACAGAGGGGGCAAGCGUUGUUCGGAAUUACUGGGCGUAAAGGGCGCGUAGGCGGUUUGCUAAGUUGAAUGUGAAAACUCUGGGCUUAACCCAGAGCCUGCAUUCAAUACUGGCAGGCUAGAGUUCUGGAGGGGAUAGCGGAAUUCCUGGUGUAGCGGUGAAAUGCGUAGAUAUCAGGAGGAACACCGGUGGCGAAGGCGGCUAUCUGGACAGAGUCUGACGCUGAGGCGCGAAAGCGAGGGGAGCAAACAGG